GGUCCAGCCUGCCCAGUGACCCCGUUUAACGGCCGCGGUAUCCUAACCGUGCAAAGGUAGCAUAAUCACUUGUCUCUUAAAUAGGGACUAGUAUGAACGGCUAAAUGAGGAUCACACUGUCUCUUGUAACUGACCAAUGAAACUGAUCUUGUAGUUCAAAAGCUACAAUAAAAACACCAGACGAGAAGACCCUGUGGAGCUUCAAACCAAAACCAAACUAAUGGCCCAUUGGUUUUUAGUUGGGGCAACUUCGGAGAAUAAACUAACCUCCGAAAAUAUAAGCUAAGACAAACAAGUCAAAACAACUUCCUUGACCCAAUAGACAACUUAAACUAUUUGACCAAUGAACCAAGUUACCCCAGGGAUAACAGCGCUAUCCCCUUUUAGAGUCCCUAUCGACAAGGGGGCUUACGACCUCGAUGUUGGAUCAGGACACCCCAAUAAUGCAGCCGUUAUUAAAGGUUCGUUUGUUCAACGAUUAAAGUCCUA
rnacentral:rRNA from 1 species